AAGUCGUAACAAGGUUUCCGUAGGUGAACCUGCGGAAGGAUCAUUAACACGUAUCCACGUAUCAACCCCCCGGUAAUUGUUUUCAGCCCUCUCCCUGCCUUGAUUGUUUGUCCAUGAACUGAGAGCUUGAGAUAAAGGAUGGGAACUUAGAUUCUAUAUGGGUCGAAAGUUUAAUCUCUCGAAUGAACGAAUAGUUGAAUCUAUCGACGGUUGCAGGAACUCGGCAGGUCAUACCCCCAUUCACUAUAAACUCUCCAUCCAUGAGGUUAUAGUGGAUAUACACCUAUUUCACCCCUUUAUUUUGCUAGUUGGCUUUUAUACUGUUGUUGCUUCUUUUUUUAAUUCUUGACUGUAAUUAAAAAGGAUGCUUCACACGUUUAUUUAUUUGAACGUUAAAUUUACAACUCUUAGCAAUGGAUAUCUUGGUUCUC
rnacentral:misc_RNA from 1 species